rnacentral:rRNA from 1 species
ACAUACAAGUAGUAGGGAAAGGAAACUAGGACCGACCCUUCGGGAGCUUGAACAGGUGCUGCAUGGCUGUCGUCAGCUCGUGUCGUGAGAUGUUCGGUUAAGUCCGCUAACGAGCGCAACCCUCGCUGUGUGUUACAAGUGUCACACGGAACUGCCGGUCAUAAACCGGAGGAAGGUGGGGAUGACGUCAAGUCAGCAUGGCCUUUAUAUCCUGGGCUACGCACACGCUACAAUGGGAAGGGACAAUAGGUUGCGAAGCCGCGAGGCGGAGCCAAUCCAGCAAAACUUCCCUCAGUUCAGAUUGCAGGCUGCAACUCGCCUGCAUGAAGUUGGAGUUGCUAGUAAACGCAGGUCAGCCAUACUGCGUUGAAUACGUUCCCGGGGCUU